rnacentral:rRNA from 1 species
GACGAACGCUGGCGGCGUGCCUAAUACAUGCAAGUCGAACGCUGAAGGAGGAGCUUGCUUCUCCGGAUGAGUUGCGAACGGGUGAGUAACGCGUAGGUAACCUGCCUGGUAGCGGGGGAUAACUAUUGGAAACGAUAGCUAAUACCGCAUAAGAGUAGAUGUUGCAUGACAUUUGCUUAAAAGGUGCAAUUGCAUCACUACCAGAUGGACCUGCGUUGUAUUAGCUAGUUGGUGGGGUAACGGCUUACCAAGGCGACGAUACAUAGCCGACCUGAGAGGGGGAUCGGCCACACUGGGACUGAGACACGGCCCAGACUCCUACGGGAGGCAGCAGUAGGGAAUCUUCGGCAAUGGACGGAAGUCUGACCGAGCAACGCCGCGUGAGUGAAGAAGGUUUUCGGAUCGUAAAGCUCUGUUGUAAGAGAAGAACGAGUGUGAGAGUGGAAAGUUCACACUGUGACGGUAUCUUACCAGAAAGGGACGGCUAACUACGUG